rnacentral:rRNA from 2 species
CUUGCUUCUAUGACGUUAGCGGCGGACGGGUGAGUAACACGUGGGCAACCUGCCUGUAAGACUGGGAUAACUUCGGGAAACCGAAGCUAAUACCGGAUAGGAUCUUCUCCUUCAUGGGAGAUGAUUGAAAGAUGGUUUCGGCUAUCACUUACAGAUGGGCCCGCGGUGCAUUAGCUAGUUGGUGAGGUAACGGCUCACCAAGGCAACGAUGCAUAGCCGACCUGAGAGGGUGAUCGGCCACACUGGGACUGAGACACGGCCCAGACUCCUACGGGAGGCAGCAGUAGGGAAUCUUCCGCAAUGGACGAAAGUCUGACGGAGCAACGCCGCGUGAGUGAUGAAGGCUUUCGGGUCGUAAAACUCUGUUGUUAGGGAAGAACAAGUACGAGAGUAACUGCUCGUACCUUGACGGUACCUAACCAGAAAGCCACGGCUAACUACGUGCCAGCAGCCGCGGUAAUACGUAGGUGGCAAGCGUUAUCCGGAAUUAUUGGGCGUAAAGCGCGCGCAGGCGGUUUCUUAAGUCUGAUGUGAAAGCCCACGGCUCAACCGUGGAGGGUCAUUGGAAACUGGGGAACUUGAGUGCAGAAGAGAAAAGCGGAAUUCCACGUGUAGCGGUG